AGGAAGCAAACUUGAUGUUCUACGAGUGCAGUGUUUAUACUGGAGCUAAUGUGCUGGAGGCCAUGAUUCAUCUGGCCAGGGUCCUGAGGGAGCUGGAAGACAGAGUAUGGGUAAACACGGUCAGACUGGUGGAUCAACCUUUAAAGAAGAAAGCCUGCUGCAAGUGACCACACACACACACCAAAAAACGCACGGGUGAAAUCACUUUAAGCUUUACGUAUCAUCGUCAAACCCCAUUAUACUCAAUGUAAAUAAUUUAAUGUUGGCUGAAAGAGGACAAAUUCACUUAUAUUUGUAUCAAAAAUUAAUAGUGUAAAGUGUAAAAAGGUAUUUCAUGUCCAUUUGUCAAAGAGCAUUGUAUAUCUGUGCACAUCUGAUGUGUGUCUCCAAUUGUAGAUGAAGUAUAUUAUAGAUUCUCAGGACAGUUUAUCACCUCAUUUAAAUUAUCUUUAUACAUAUUCUAUUUGUUAACGAUACCAAUUGUCAAUCACAAUACAUUUAUUGAGAAAAUGUGUUCAGUCAAGCUGCAUGUGACCAACUUAUCCGUUAUCCCAUACAACCAAGUGAGUGAGAGCAAAGUAAUUCAGGAGAAAAUGUGAUUGUUUGUUACUUCCCAUUUAUUUAGCAAUGCAAUAGCCUCAUUCAACUCACCUGAAGUCUUGCUAGCAUCAUGAAGCCUGGAUUUCAAACUGGCCAGGAAAACCUCAUUGCAUGAACAAGAAGUGUUUCAGUUACCAUUCGCAGAGACAGUUCAGUUGAUGACAACAACAUGAAGCACCGAAAUCUUCAAAUAUAUUAUUGAGGGAAGAACAUUGUCUGGAUUCAUAAUCAAACAUGUUGAGCCUCAUUCGUUGUCUUCAUCUGAACUGCUCUGGGAUCAUUUUACACAAAAGUUGUAUGUGACAAUGCCUUGACAAUUGACCAAGAACACAAAACCAAAAAUAUUCUUAAGUUAAAACUGUCACAUUAUGUUACACUAAAAUAACAAAUCUUGUAGGUCCUGUUUUUGAUAAGAAUGAUUUAAAAUAGUGUAGCUGCUCUUAGAGGACCUUUAGAAAAAUCUUAGUGAAACCUGAAUGAAUUCAAAUAAAGCAAAGGCAGAAAACAUGCCAGUGGUCACUAUAUUAAACAACUCAACACUAACCCAAUAAAUAUAACACAAUAAAAGCACUUGAAUAUAA